AAUCCUUAUAAUUGCUUUUUAUCAAUUAAUUAAGUAAAAAUUCAUAAUACUCCCAAAAUCGAUGGAAUACCACUAUAAAAUCACUAUUUUGUUGAAAAAAUGAAACAACAAAGGCUCCAAACCUCUUUGAUCAUCAUCAUAUGUUACUGGAAGAUGCAACUAUGCUUUAAAACAAUAUUUUCGUGUUUUAUGAAAUUUUCUCAAAAUCCAUGUGUUAACCUCUACCAAAAUAUUGAGCUUUUGGAAAAUGUUUUAUAUACUGAAGCCUAUAAUUUUUAGUGUUGUUUUAAAAUUUCUAACCACAUUCUAUAUUUGUAUUAAUGUAUAUUAAGCUCUUUUUCAUGGUACAAUAGAAUCGUUAUAAUUUUUUUAUCAAUUAAUUUAAUAAAACUUCAUAAUACUCCUACAUCGAUGGAAUAACCACUAUAAAAUCACUAUUUUCUUAAAAAACAGAGACAACAAAGGCUCGAAACCUCUUUGAACAUCAUCAUAUAUUAGUGGAAGAUGCAACUAUGCAUUAAAACAAUAUUAUCGUAUUUUUUGAAAUUUUCUCAAAAUCUAUAUGGUAACCCCUAAGAAAAUAAUGAGUUUUUGGUAAAUAUUUUAUAUACUGAACCCUAUAAUCUUUAGUGUUGUUUUAAAAUUUCUAACCACAUUCCAUAUUUGUAUUAAUGUAUAUUAAAUUCUCUUUCAUGAUAUAUGGGUAUCGUUUUAACUUUUUUCAAUUAAUUCAGAAAAACUUCAUAAUACUCCCUAAAUUAGUGGACUAACUAUUAUAAUAUCUUUAUUUUC